AAGGUAGCAUAAUCAUUUGCCUCCUAAUUAGAGGCUUGUAUGAAUGGACACACGCAAGCAUAUCUGUCUCCUUAAUACUAAUAAAAACUAUCCUUUAGGUGAAGAGACCUAAAUUCUAUAAAAAGACAAAAAGACCCUUUCGAGCUUUACUAAAAACAUCACACUAAACAGAUAACCAAACUCCCCCUGAUACACUUAGUUCAGUUGGGGCGACUAAGGAAGAACAUAAAGCUUCCUUCCAAAUAAGGAAAUACUCCUAUCUAAGAUCCGCACACGCGAAUAAAGAUCUAGCUACCGUAGGGAUAACAGGCUAAUCUUCUUUGAGAGCCCAAAUUGACAAGAAGGAUUGGCACCUCGAUGUUGGCUUAAGAUUCCUAGAUAAUGCAGAAGUUAUUUAAGUGGGUUUGUUCAACCCUUAAUAUCUUACGUGAUCUGAG
rnacentral:rRNA from 1 species